UAGGGAAUAUUGGUUAAUGGGGGAAACCCUGACCCAGCAACGCCGCGUGAGUGAAGAAGGCCUUCGGGUUGUAAAGCUCUGUCAUUAGGGAAGAAGAAGUGACGGUACCUAAUGAGGAAGCCCCGGCUAACUACGUGCCAGCAGCCGCGGUAAUACGUAGGGGGCGAGCGUUGUCCGGAAUUACUGGGCGUAAAGGGUGCGUAGGCGGCGUGCUAAGUUGGAUGUGAAAUACCCGGGCUUAACCUGGGGGGUGCAUUCGAUACUGGCAGGCUAGAGUGCAGGAGAGGGAAGCGGAAUUCCUAGUGUAGCGGUGAAAUGCGUAGAUAUUAGGAGGAACACCAGUGGCGAAGGCGGCUUUCUGGACUGUAACUGACGCUGAUGCACGAAAGCGUGGGGAGCAAACAG
rnacentral:rRNA from 1 species